rnacentral:lncRNA from 1 species
AGGCUGAGCUGUCACAAUGCCCAAAGCUGAGGCUGAAGCCAGAGCAGAAGACCCCCAGGCAGCUGAAGAGGACCUACCUGGCACUGGAGCGAGGUGUAACUGACAAUGCCAGGAGCUUGGCCCACGCCAGGAGAGCAGAGCACCAUCCACUCCAAACGGAGUGGCUGGGACAGCUGGGUGACUACAUUCUGGGCCAUCCCAUAGGCUGAGAGAGAGGAGGGGCAGAGCAGAGGACUAGAAGAAGACAAGUAAAACCUCAGGCUAGUCAUUCCAGAGGUGGUGGCUUGAGAGAAAGAGAGAAGAAAAAGAGAGAAAGGGAGAAAACUUCACGAGCGAUGCUGUGUCCUUUCUGGUGUAUUACAUCAUGAGGCACACGAUGUCUGAUCGUUCCACUUUUAGAGAUGUGAAAAUCGAUCACUGGGUUCAGGUGUUAUCAGCAUGGUCCAUUCAAAGAUUCCCUGUCAACCUUUCACUUAGUAGUUAUUGAUGGUCGUUGCCUAGAUUCUUCAUUUCAUCAAGUGUACCAAAGCAAUGGUUCUCUAAUUCGAUCAUUCCCUUUGCCUUUAUUAGCUGGAAUUCUUUUAUACAGAACUCCUUAUCACUUCUUU